CGGGGCGUAGCUCAGUUUGGUAGAGUGCUUGCUUUGGGAGCAAGAUGCCGCAGGUUCGAGUCCUGUCGCCCCGAC
rnacentral:tRNA from 1 species